rnacentral:lncRNA from 1 species
AAACAACUUGUUACAAAAAGAGCUAGGGUCCCAGACUGCGCCGAAGCUUCGUGAGACUGCUCCUCGUCUGUGGACAGAGGAGUAGCUGACUCUGGAGCCCAGGCUGUUGCUAUCCAGUCUGGUGGUGAAUCCUCUACAGUCUGUUAGAGCAAUUGGAUGAAGUAUAUUUUUGUGAGCAAAUUUACCUUUCUCUCUGAAUUCUCCAAAAUUCAGAAACC